UUGAGCCGUAUGCGUUGAAAGGCGCACGUACGGUUCUUAGGGGGGAGGGGUUUCAGCAAUGAAAUCCUUCCUACCCUCC
rnacentral:ncRNA from 1 species